rnacentral:lncRNA from 1 species
UAUUCGGUGUUAGAGGAGAGGACCCCAAAAAGCUUGUGGUCAAAGUUGCACACCAUGUAUAUGAAGAAAAACAUGUGUAACAAGCUAAUGUUGAAGAAGAGACUAUACAGCCUUCGAAUGCAGGAAGGUGGAGAUGUCUUGGGACACAUCCAAAAAUUUGACUAGAUGUGCAAUGAGUUGCUAAAAAUCAGGGUGAAGAU